GACGAACGCUGGCGGCGUGCUUAACACAUGCAAGUCGAACGAUGAAGCCGGAGCUUGCUCUGGUGGAUUAGUGGCGAACGGGUGAGUAACACGUGAGUAACCUGCCCUUGACUCUGGGAUAAGCGUUGGAAACGACGUCUAAUACCGGAUACGAGCUAGGACCGCAUGGUCACUAGCUGGAAAGAACUUCGGUCAAGGAUGGACUCGCGGCCUAUCAGUUAGUUGGUGAGGUAACGGCUCACCAAGACGACGACGGGUAGCCGGCCUGAGAGGGUGACGGGCCACACGGGAACUGAGACACGGCCAAAACUCAUACGGGAGGAAGGAGUGGGGAAUAUUGCAAAAUGGGCGCACGCCUGAUGCAGCACCGCCGCGUGAGGGACGACGGCCUUCGGGUUGUAAACCUCUUUUAGCAGGGAAGAAGCGCAAGUGACGGUACCUGCAGAAAAAGCACCGGCUAACUACGUGCCAGCAGCCGCCGUAAUAC
rnacentral:rRNA from 1 species